rnacentral:lncRNA from 1 species
CAGGCGUUGUCAACCGGCGAGACGAAUUGAUGAAACUGCUUUCCAAAGAACAAUCGCUCUCAGUUCUCACAACCCGAGCGUCGCUGACCACUGGCCAUUACUAAUUCCUCCCUACAACUGACCAGUCUUCCGACAUCCUUAACGUAAGCCAUCUACGCAGGCCCCUAUAUUUUCCACACAGGCCUUGAGACAUCGGGUGAAAGCCGUCCUAAAGAUUCACGGGAGGGUAAUGGAAGGUCGACAGGUCAAGCAUGUCAUCCCACCCCUAUAAACCAGGGCAGUAGGACCGGUGUGUGCAUUCAUCAUUUCCCGACUGAAGUACCUACACAUCUACAGGUAUUGAACAGCUUCUGCUUUUCGACACCCAGGCUUCAUAUACAGACAGCAUCAUGCCACGCGAGAUGGAGAAGGCGAAAGCCAUCUAUGUCAAAAGUUGUGAGGCAUGCCACGUGAGUUACGCCUCGGUCACCACGGAGAAGACAAAAGUAGGACAGACAUGCCCCAAACAGAUUCCAGUCGAGUCCCCUCUUCUCUCCGAAACUUCAUUUCCCUCAAGGGAGAUAACCUUGACAAAAUUUAUUGAUAUUAUCAACUGAAACUGUAUUUGUAUUCGAUGAAGUAUGAAUAAACACAAUU